UACGUAGGGGGCAAGCGUUGUCCGGAAUUACUGGGCGUAAAGGGCGCGUAGGCGGGAUGGCAAGUCGGUCGUGAAAUCCUUCGGCUCAACCGAAGAACGUCGAUCGAUACUGCUGUUCUUGAGGGUUGCAGAGGAGACUGGAAUUCCCGGUGUAGCGGUGAAAUGUGUAGAGAUCGGGAGGAACACCGGUGGCGAAGGCGGGUCUCUGGGCAAUUCCUGACGCUGAGGCGCGAAAGCGUGGGGAGCAAACGGG
rnacentral:rRNA from 1 species